GGGGAAAUUGGCAAAUACUUUUUCCUUCCUUCAGACCCCACUCAGAACGGAAGAGGCACAGUGGGCUGUACAGCUGCAAAUUCUCAUAUUAGCUGUCUCGGCUGGAGUAUUCUGACACGUUACACCUUGUCCCUAGUUUGAGUGAAAGACACACAGGCAGCAUCAAGGAAGACCAGACAACCUUGGAGGAUUUUCUCAGAAAUCACAGAGACUGCAGGGCUGAGUGUGGAGUGUAACGAGACACAGCACUGCCCCUGUCUGACGUGUUCCCUGCCAAUCACACCCACUCUGACUCCAGAAUGAAGAGGCUCACGGUGAGGACUG
rnacentral:lncRNA from 1 species